GUUUAUUUAAUUGUUUUCCCCACUCCUCGGUGGCAGCACUUCCCUGCCAUUAAACCCUGCCAUCCGCGUUCUGACUGCGUAAUUUAAAGCUAUAGUUAAAUUAUGACUUCUCUGAACCUGUUGUGGCACUGACGCAUAACCCUAAUUAAAUGAUCACAUCCAUUCUAAAGCCAGUCUUUUCUCCCCUCAAACGUUAAUUACAACAUAAGAGGCUUUAAUGGCUCGCCUCACCUCCAGCUCCUCGAAAGAAAGGUCAUGCGAUUAAUUUUCGUCAUUAAUCUUUCCCCAAUGUGGACAUUGUGCUGUCACUGGAGCCUAUUAAACCCCCUUUGUCCCCCUCCCCUUCUUCUCCCUUCUCUCCCCUUCUUUCCUCCCCCCCAUCCCUAAGUGAAUGAGAGAACAAAAAUAUUUAAGCUCCACUUUGGCUCUGGUGCUCCUUCAGGUGAGCAGGGCUGGGGAUGGUGGAUAGGAGACGUCCCACAUCCCCCAUCCCACGUCCAACACUCCAUGCCCUGCGUCUCAUGUUCCAUGUUCUACAUCCCGCAUCCCAAGUCCCACGUCCAGCAUCUAAUGUCCUGCAUCCUACGUUCCAUGUCCCACAUCCCAUGUCCUAUGUCUCAUGACCUACACCCCAUGUCCUACAUCUCACAUCCUUUGUUCCAAGUUCCACAUUCUGUGUCCUACAUCCCACAUUCCAUACCCCACACUCCACACCCCGUGUCCCAUGUCCAACAUUUCACAUCCGAUGUCCCUUGCCACGUGUCCAGCAUUCCACAUCCUAAGUCACAUGUCCUACGUCCCAAGUUUCACAUCCCGUGUCCCAUGUCCUAUGUCCCAUUGUCGAUGUCCCACAUCUCACAUCCCUUGUUCAGCAUUCCAUGUCCUAUGACCCAGGUUCCAUAUCCCAUGUUCAACAUCCCAUGUCCCCCAUUGCACGUUCCAUGUCCCACAUUGCACGUCCCAUAUCCCAUGUCCUACGUCCCAUGUCCCCCAUUCCACAUUCCAUAUCCCAGGUUCAACAUCCCACAUCCUACGUUCAAUGUCCCACAUCCCACAUCCCAUCUCCCAUCUCCCGCAUCCCACCGGCACCACCCCAAGAGCAACGCAAGGACGGGUACAAUUUUGGGGUGCUGGGGACCCCAUUGAAUGCAGCAGAGCAAAGCCAACACGCUGGUAGCAGAGCUGUGCACCCAGCCCUGGCAGAGGGCCUGCAGCAAGGCCCCUUUUUUUCCCCUUUCCAGAGGAAAUGGGCAUUUUUCCUAAACUCCACAAAAUUCCUUCAGCGGGUUAAUCCCCCGCCCUGGGCGCAGGUCCUGUUUCUCCCUGCCUGCACCGUGCAAGCGGGAGCGCAGUGCACGUUUUGCUCAUUUGCAGUAUUGUUUCAGCUGAAACGAAG
rnacentral:lncRNA from 1 species